rnacentral:rRNA from 1 species
GACGAACGCUGACGGCGUGCUUAACACAUGCAAGUCGAACGAGAGCGUAGAGAAAGCUUGCUUUUUCUACAAUCUAGUGGCAAACGGGUGAGUAACGCGUAAACAACCUGCCCUACGGAUGGGGACAACAGCUGGAAACGGCUGCUAAUACCGAAUACGUUCCGAAAGUCGCAUGACUAUCGGAAGAAAGGAUGGCCUCUAUUUAUAAGCUAUCGCCGGAGGAGGGGUUUGCGUCUGAUUAGCUAGUUGGAGGGGUAACGGCCCACCAAGGCGACGAUCAGUAGCCGGUCUGAGAGGAUGAACGGCCACAUUGGAACUGAGACACGGUCCAGACUCCUACGGGAGGCAGCAGUGGGGAAUCUUCCGCAAUGGGCGAAAGCCUGACGGAGCAACGCCGCGUGAGUGAAGACGGCCUUCGGGUUGUAAAGCUCUGUUAUACGGGACGAAUAAUCUUGUGGUUAAUACCCAUGAGAAGUGACGGUACCGUAAGAGAAAGCCACGGCUAACUACGUG